CUGUUCCUGUCAGAGCUGCAGGCAGAGCUGGAGGAGCUGUGGCUCACUGCAGAGGGAGUUCUUCAGUCCCAGGUAAUGGAGCUGGUUCGUGACUCAGCUCAUGGCACUUUUUGGCCUCAGUCGUUCCAGUGAGGACUGAGGGCUCUGUCAGCACAGGGAAAGAGCAGGGCCAGGCUUCUUUGUGAGAGCUGGGGCUGUGUUCACAGCUCUCAUGGGUUUCACUUGCACUGCAAGUGCUGCAGCUUUAUGGGGAUACUUCAGACCUUUGCAGUUUGGAAAUCUCUGGAAGCAUUGCUGUUCUCUGCAGAGCAGCUUCCAAUUCCCAGGUCAGAGUCUGCAUUUCUGGCCAUUCCUCACAGUCCCUGGUAGGAGUACAGUCGCUGUCCUGGGAAAACAUGCCCGAUGGCAGCUGCUGACUGCGUGUUCCCGGUGUUUCUCAGAGCUCCACCUGCUGUACCUCGCCCGGAGGGCUGCCCUGCGCAGGCAGAAGUGCCCGAGCUCCCAGCGUCGUACAGUCGCUGUCCUGGGAAAACGUGCCCGAUGGCAGCUGCUGACUGCGUGUUCCCGGUGUUUCUCAGAGCUCCACCUGCUGUACCUCGCCCGGAGGGCUGCCCUGCGCAGGCAGAAGUGCCCGAGCUCCCAGCCAGGGCCGGCCCUGGUGGGUGCCGAUGGUGGCCGCGCUGCGGGGCCACAGCUCCUUGUGAAGAGCCCCGACUGCUGCCCCGAGAUCCCUGCAGACACCAAGAGACUGAAGAGAGACCAGAAGGAGAACGUGCCGGGCGGCCUGGAGGUGUUCAGCUCCGCUUCCAGCCACUCCCAGCAGCACCUGGACUCAGCCCUGAGCAGGGACCUGCAGCUGCCACCCUCGAGCCACCUGUGCGGCCCUUCCAGGAAAAGUGAAGGUGCUUCUGGAUUGCCCCCAGAGCGGGCAGGAGGGAUUUGUUGUGGCCCACCGCAGGAUGCAGCCCAGGCAGAACUGGUGGCAACAGGGCAGAAGUGAAGCCGCGUCAUCCCAAGUCUCCUGGCAGAUGGGGCAGUUGCUGUCUGUCCCUGUGGCCAUUUGUGUGCUCUGCAGCACGUUGGGGACAGCUGAAGACCAGGAGCUGCUCCCCUCGCUGGUGUCACACACUGCAGGAGGGAGAGACCAUAGUCACUGGCUGUGCCAAGGAGAGGAAUAAAAGGCAGGAAAUGCCCA
rnacentral:lncRNA from 1 species